rnacentral:rRNA from 1 species
UACGAAGGGUGCAAGCGUUACUCGGAAUUACUGGGCGUAAAGCGUGCGUAGGCGGUUUGUUAAGUCCGCUGUGAAAGCCCUGGGCUCAACCUGGGAAUUGCAGUGGAUACUGGCAAGCUAGAGUCCGGAAGAGGCGAGUGGAAUUCCUGGUGUAGCGGUGAAAUGCGCAGAUAUCAGGAGGAACACCGAUGGCGAAGGCAGCUCGCUGGGACGGUACUGACGCUGAGGCGCGAAAGCGUGGGGAGCAAACAGG